rnacentral:lncRNA from 1 species
CCUCGUCAGUCAAGAUGAUAUUCUUGAUUGUCUCACUUUGAUUUUCUGUGUUGUCAAUCUGAUUUUCAGGUGCAAGUGUAACAUCCUCUUUUAUAUCUCUUUUCUCAUCUGCUAAAUCCUUUUCACUCGUAUACUUAAUGAUGUUUUCAGAGGUGAUGUCUGAUUUUUUUGGUUCAGGAUUUGUUUCCUUAACCUCGUCUUCUUCUAUCACUGAUUCAGAUGUGGGUUUGAUUACUUCAAGAUCCUAUUUUGCAACAAAAGAAGAAAAAAUAAAAUUUAGAUAGUAUGAUUGAUAAGGCCUCUUUCUUAGGAUAACAGCUGCAUAAAAGGAAUGGUGAUAGUUCUUUAUUUGUGCACUAACCUCUUUAAUGAAAACUGCAUCACGAGAUGAUAUUGAAAGGUGUUCUGCAACUUGCUUGCUUUCUGUUGUCUGUUUUCAUUAGCGUAAAGUAUAUCAAGUUCAUUAUAAGAGAAAUGCAAGAAAAAGAAUGUGUUAUUCAAAACUCUUGAAAAUCUUCUAACCUCUUCACUUGAAAUUUCAUCAGUUCUAACCUCAGAGACCCCAACAGGUAUUGGAUCUGAAUAUGGUAUCUACGUGAAAAAAUGUCAUGUUAAAACGUAUACUCAUACAGAUAUGAACAUAAUACAAAUCUCAUCUUUCUGUUAAUAGACUCACCACAUGUGCCGUUUCCUUUUGAUCUUCUGAAGAUUUCUCCUGAAGUUCUGUGGAAUGACUAUCUUCCUCAACAAUCUGUUCUUUGAGGUCAUCUGUUUCCUUUUCCUUUGGUAUAUUUAAAGGCACCUGUUCAAUUUAUAUAACAUUCCUGUAAGCAGAUCCCUUUGAUGACUUGAUAGAUAAGAAAGUCUGGUGGUAUUAUUUCUUGCUCACCUCUUCAUUCAAGAUAACAUCCUUUGACAUCUCACUGCAGUCUUCUGUGCUAUUAAGCUGAUUUUCUUGUGUAACAUCCUCUUUCAUAUCUUCUUUUUCAUACAAUGAAUCAUCUGCACCAAUUUUUGUUGUCUGUUCUGUUUUCUGCAUCCAUUAGUGUCAAAAGUAUGUUAAGAAAACACAAAAAGAAAUGCAAUAAAAGGAUGUGUGAACUGUAAAGACAUUGUAAUUCUAUCUGACCUCAUCACUUGAAAUUUCUUUUGUUACAGUUUGUUUCUCUUCAUCCACAUAUGUUGUUGUUGCUGAUGUAAGACGAUCUUCUUUCGGGUUUGAAUCUUCUGACUUGGGCACCAAUUCAGGGAUUUUUACAUCAUAGACAGAUUCAAGAUCUAGUGGCAAAGUUUUAAGGGUUUCUUCUGUUGUAGUUACUAAUGAACUUGAGGGUACAAUAUCUUCUUGAGGUUUGACUUCUGUUGUUUCAUUUGAAUCCUUAGAUUUUUCUUUUGAUGCUUCAUCCAAACCAUCAUUCUGUUGCUCAACAGGUUCAAUCUCCCUUGUUCUUGCAUCUUGAAAGCACUUUUCUUCUUUAGUUGUAGUGUCAUUUGGAUUCUCUAUGCUGUCAUGGGAUAAAUGUUCAUCCUUUUUUGUGAUUUCCUCUUCUUCUAUAGUUUCACUUAUGGUUUCAGUUGGACCUGCCUGUAUCUCCUCAACAAUUUGUCCUUUAGGUUGACCAAGCUCUGACGACACCUGUUUAAAAUAUAUUUUUUUAAAUAAUUUAAUAUAACAAACAACUGAAUAUCGAAGAAGGUUGAGCUAUAUCUGUUAUAAAAUGAAGUCUUUUGAAUAUUCUAUCUGUUAAAAGAUGAUAUCCAACUUUGAAUGAACAAAUGAAAACAUUUUGAUGUUAUAGUUCCCUUUUUCACAUGUCCACUGACCUCAUCGGUUAAUUCCUUUUCAUCUGAUGUUGUUGUCUUUUCAUCUGCUAAGUCCUUUUCAGGCAAGAUGACAUUCUCCAUGAUGUUUUCAGGGGUGAUGUCUGAUUGUUCUGGUUGAGGCUUUGUUUCCUUAACCUGGUAUUCUUCUAUCACCAUCUUAGACAUGGGUUUGAGUUCUCCAUGUAGUUCUAGAUUCUAUUUUGCAAAAAAUAAACCAAAAUAAUGCAGAUAGUUUUACUUUCCAUAUGACAACAUAAGUGUUCAUGAUAGAGUGAUAUGUCAAUAUGCAUUAACAUCAAAAAUCUUGAAAAUUUUCUAACCUCUGUACUUGAAGUUUCAUUAGCUAUAACUUCAUGUUCUUUCUCUCCAUUGUUUUCAUCUGUAUACUCGGUUGUUGCUGAGACAAUGCUCUCUUCUUUCACUUUUGAGUCUUCUGAAUCAACAACUACUUCAGGGGUUUGUACAUCACAAACAGAUUCAAGAGCCUGUUUGGGUGACUCAUCGAUUUCUAAUGGAUCUGAAUACGAUAUCUGCUUAAAAAAAUUCAUGUUAACACAUAUUCAUACAGCAUGAACAAAAUACUAUUCUCAUCUUUCUGUUAAUAGACUAACCACAGGUGCCUUUUGAUCUUCUGUUGAUUUCUCUUGUAGCUCUGUGGAAUUACUAUAUUCCUCAACAAUCUGUUCUUUGAGGUCAUCUGUUCCCUUUUCCUUUUGUGUCUCUAAAGGUACCUGUUCAAUCUAUAUAACAUUCAUGUAAGCAGACCCCUUUGAUGACUUGAUAGAUAAGCAAGUGGUUAUAUAUUUAUCGUAUUCACCUCUUUAGUCAAGAUGACAUCCUUUGAUAUCUCACUGCAGUCUUCGGUGCUAUUAAGCUGAUUUUCUUGUGUAACAUCCUCUUUUUCAUACAGUGAUUUGUUUUCACCAAUUUCUGUUGUCUGCAACCAUUAGUGUCAAAGUAUGUCAAUAAAGCACAGAAGAAAUGCAAGAAAAAGAUGAUGUGAACUGUAGGGACGUUUUUCUGUCUGACCUCUGCACUUGAAACUUCUUUUGUUUCUGUUUCUUUUUCUUCAUCCACAUGCGUUGCUGUUGUAAGACACUCUUCUUUCAUGUUUGAAUCUUCUGACUCGAGCCCCACUCCAGGGAUUUGUACCUCAGAAACAGUUUCAAGAUCUUCAAGGAAGAUCUCUUUAGUCAUUUCUGUCUGCUCCUGCCUUUCAUCAGUAUUGACCACUGUGGUAGCAUGUUGUCCGAUUGUUGUUUCUUUUAUAUCCUCACUGGAUGCAUUUUGUGAGCUUGUAACAUCAUCUUCACCAUCUUGGACUUCUUCUGACAUUUUGAGGUCUUUUUCUUUUGCUUGAUUUUCCUCUUUGCUCACUGUUUCAUCCUCAUUCAAUUCAGAUUCAACCUUCUCUAAUCCUGUCACUUCAUGGACUUCCUUAACCAGGGAGCUUUCAGACUUUUCUGUUUGACCAUCAUCAUUGACUACAUCCUCCUUUUUUUCUAUGGUUUCGACACUAGAUUUGAUUUCUUCAGUGUCUUCCUCUAUACUUUCUCUAGUUUCAAAAAACUCAGGUUCUUUACCUUCUUCUUGGUAGUUCUUUUUUUGCAAGUCUUCUUCUAAUGCUGCAACCUGUGAGGUUGUUACAUUGUCCUCACCUUGACCUUCUGCCGACAUGUUGACCUGAUCCUUUUCUUGAUCUUCAUCUUUAAAAGUUUCUAUUGCUUUUAUCCCUUCUUCAGAUUCAACCUUUUCCGAACUAGUCUCAUCACAUACCUCUUUGACAGAGUGGAUAGGAGGCGUUUCCAUUUGAUCAUCAUCAUGCUCAAUAGGCUCUUUGUUUUUUUCUUCAGUUUCUGUUUUCUCUUCUUGAGAUUCCACUUGUGCUGAUGUGAAAACAUCAGUUGUGAUGGCAUGUGGCAACUCUCCUUGCUCCACUUUUUCUUUUGUUUUAACAUUUGUGCUUAUAAGUUCAUUAUCUUCCUCCAUGCUUUCUCUAGUUUCAAAAAAUACAUCCUCAGAGGCUGCAACUGUAUCCUGUGAGCAUAUAACUUCAUCCUCACUUUGGUCUUUUUCUGGUAUGUUGAGCUCUUGUUCCUUUUCUUGAUAUUCAUCUUUGCUUAAAAUUUCUAUUUCUUUCUCAUUCUGAUACAUAUCGGAAUUUAUCCCUUCUUCAGAUACAGUCUUCUUUAAGUCAGUCUCUUCACAUACUUCCUGUUGCUCCUUUUCAUCUGUUUCAACACUUGGUUUGAUUUCUUCAGUAUACAUCUCUUGCUCAAAAAUUAUGCUGGCACUUUCUUCUAUUUUAUCUUUUGCUCCAUUAUCAUCAUACUGCUCGCUUGCCUAUAUGAAGAGUGUAUUUUGAGUACAUGGGCAGAAUGGACAAUACAGAACUUGGUAAGUCUAAUGUAUAGUCAAAGUUUGUAAAACAAUCUGUGUAACAGCUUAGUUUAUUGGUCUCUUUUUCAAAAGAAAAUUAUGAGCAGCAUUUGCUCUAAAGUCUAAACUACUUUAUAAAACGGGUUUCCCUUAGAAUUUAUCAUUUUCAUAAAUAUCCACAACUUGCUUUUCUUCUAGUUCUAUACCCCUCCCCAAUUGUACUGUUCAAUUGAAUAAAUCAAGUUCUGUAUUUGAAGUUACACUUAAUAUGCUCUAUAAAAUAUGUAUUUUAUCUUGUUUAGGGCCCUUAAAAUGGUCUAAUAUAUAUAUAUNNNNNNNNNNNNNNNNNNNUAUAUAUAUAUAUAUAUAUAUAUAUAUUUGUAAGAGAUACUUGAACUACCGAGUUGAACAACUUAUGCAUUUGUUACUUUCUCAAACACAUGAGAUGAGAAAUUUUGUAGCAGACAACAUAAUGUCUUGAUAAUUUUAGCAUUGCAAGUUUAGUUGGAAUGAUGUACAAGUAAAACCUUUUGAAAUAAUUAGAGAUUACUUAAGAUGAACAUAAAUUACCUCUUGAGCAUGAAUUGAUUUGUCUUCUAUUUCUUCCUUGAGGAUCUCUUUGGUCAAUGCACUAUCAUCUUUGCUCUCCUCAAAAUCAACCACUGUGGUAACAUGUUGACCAAUUGUUGACUCUUGUAUAUCCUCACACGUUGCAUCUUCUGAACUUGUAACGGCAUCCCCACCACCUUGGACUUCUUCUGGCAUUUUGAGUUCAUGUUCCUUUUCUUGAUUUUCCUCUUUGCUCACUAUCUCAUUCUCAUUCAAUUCAGGUUUAGCCUUCUCUGAUCCUGUCACUUCACACACCUCCUUAACCAAUGGGCUUUCAAACUCAUCAUUGACUAUAGCAUCUUCCUCAAUCUUUUCUUCAUUUUCCAUAGUUUCUUUUUUAGGUUCUAUUUCUGUUGAGCUGCAAACAUCAGUAGUAAUGACAUGCAGCAACCCUUGUUGCUCCAUAUUUUCUUUUGUUUCUAUACUAGAUUCGAUUUCUUCAAUGUUUUCCUCUACACUUUCUCUCGUUUCAACAACUUCAGGUUCUUUACCUUCUUCUUGGUAGUUCUUUUCUUGCAAGUCUUCUUCUAAGGCUGCAACCUGUGAGCUUGUUACAUUAUCCUCGCCUUGACCUUCUGUUGACAUGUCAACCUGAUCCUUUUCUUGUUCUUCAUCCUUGAAAGUUUCAAUAGCUUUUACCUCUU